rnacentral:rRNA from 1 species
GGGGCAGCACAGGUAGCAAUACUGGGUGGCGACCGGCAAACGGGUGCGGAACACGUACGCAACCUUCCUUCAAGCGGGGAAUAGCCCAGAGAAAUUUGGAUUAAUACCCCAUAAGAAUGUGGUCUGGCAUCAGACAGCAUUUAAAGAUUUAUCACUUGGAGAUGGGCGUGCGUCUGAUUAGGUAGUUGGUGAGGUAACGGCUCACCAAGCCGACGAUCAGUAACUGGCGUGAGAGCGCGACCAGUCACACGGGCACUGAGACACGGGCCCGACUCCUACGGGAGGCAGCAGUAAGGAAUAUUGGUCAAUGGACGGAAGUCUGAACCAGCCAUGCCGCGUGGAGGAUGAAGGCCCUCUGGGUUGUAAACUUCUUUUAUUUGGGACGAAACACUUUCUUUCUAGAGAGCUUGACGGUACCAGAUGAAUAAGCACCGGCUAACUCCGUGCCAGCAGCCGCGGUAAUACGGAGGGUGCAAGCGUUAUCCGGAUUCACUGGGUUUAAAGGGUGCGUAGGCGGACAUGUAAGUCCGUGGUGAAAUCUCUAAGCUUAACUUGGAAACUGCCAUGGAUACUAUAUGUCUUGAAUGUUGUGGAGGUUAGCGG